rnacentral:rRNA from 1 species
UACGAAGGGGGCUAGCGUUGCUCGGAAUCACUGGGCGUAAAGGGUGCGUAGGCGGGUCUUUAAGUCAGGGGUGAAAUCCUGGAGCUCAACUCCAGAACUGCCUUUGAUACUGAAGAUCUUGAGUGCGGGAGAGGUGAGUGGAACUGCGAGUGUAGAGGUGAAAUUCGUAGAUAUUCGCAAGAACACCAGUGGCGAAGGCGGCUCACUGGCCCGGUACUGACGCUGAGGUGCGAAAGCGUGGGGAGCAAACAGGG